CCUACGGGAGGCAGCAGUGAGGAAUAUUGGUCAAUGGGCGAGAGCCUGAACCAGCCAAGUCGCGUGAGGGAGUACUGCCCUAUGGGUUGUAAACCUCUUUUGUCGGGGAGCAAAAGCCGGACGUGUCCGGCUGUGAGAGUACCCGAAGAAAAAGCAUCGGCUAACUCCGUGCCAGCAGCCGCGGUAAUACGGAGGAUGCGAGCGUUAUCCGGAUUUAUUGGGGUUAAAGGGUGCGCAGGCGGAUUUUUAAGUCAGCGGUCAAAUCGUGGGGCUCAACCCCAUCCAGCCGUUGAAACUGGGGAUCUAGAGUGUGCGAGAGGUAUGCGGAAGGCGUGGUGUAGCGGUGAAAUGCAUAGAUAUCACGCAGAACCCCGAUUGCGAAGGCAGCAUACCGGUGCACAACUGACGCUCAGGCACGAAAGCGUGGGUAUCGAACAGGAUUAGAUACCCCUGUAGUC
rnacentral:rRNA from 1 species